rnacentral:rRNA from 1 species
UACGUAGGGGGCAAGCGUUGUCCGGAUUUAUUGGGCGUAAAGAGCGUGUAGGCGGUUUGGUAGGUCCGCUGUGAAAACUCGAGGCUCAACCUCGAGACGCCGGUGGAAACCAUCAGACUAGAGUCCGGAAGAGGAGAGUGGAAUUCCUGGUGUAGCGGUGAAAUGCGCAGAUAUCAGGAAGAACACCUGUGGCUAAGGCGGCUCUCUAGUACGGUACUGACGCUGAGACGCGAAAGCGUGGGGAGCAAACAGG